AUGCUACAUACAAAGGAACAUAUUCUGCUUGCCACGUCACGAAGUAUGGCCCCAUUCAUGAUACCUAUUGAAAUUGGUUGAUUGCCAACCAUUGAAGGCCUUAUUUCACUUUUGUCGGUGUAUAAUGAAGACAGAACACUUUGGGAAGCUACUAGUACUUAUGUUGAGAUGAGCCCCUUUGUGUCAACUAACAAAAUCAAGAAACCGAUUUUAUUUAUGUAUGGGAAGAAGACAACAAUCCAGGAACACUCACAAUGCAGGUCUUGGCUAUAGAGGAGCUCUUCAAGCAUAGGGUGAGAAAUGUUGUGUUCAUGGGAAUGGGUGAGCCAAUGCUGAAUUUGAAGUCAGUUUUGGAAGCACAUAGGUGCUUGAAUAAGGUCCGUAUAUGUACAUUGUAGCGUUUUAUACGUGCUAACAUUCAAAAUGCAUGGAAGAGUUUAAAAAUUAUGCUCCAAGUAAAAAGACUGCAAUAACUAUACUAUCCUGAAGUUAAUAUAAUUGUAAACAACUAUCAAAACAGAUGAUAACUUGAACAACUAAUUGAUAGUGUUUGUGUGAGUAGGGCUGGUAAUGGAUAUCGUUUACCCAAUUACCCUAC